rnacentral:rRNA from 1 species
UACGUAGGCAGCAAGCGUUGUUCGGAUUCAUUGGGCGUAAAGGGUGCGUAGGCGGCGCGGUAAGUCGGGUGUGAAAUCUUGGAGCUUAACUCCGAAACUGCAUUCGAUACUGCCGUGCUUGAGGACUGGAGAGGAGACUGGAAUUUACGGUGUAGCGGUGAAAUGCGUAGAUAUCGUAAGGAAGACCAGUGGCGAAGGCGGGUCUCUGGACAGUUCCUGACGCUGAGGCACGAAGGCCAGGGGAGCAAACGGG